GGUCCUGCACCGCGACAUCAAACCAGCGAACAUCCUGGUUGACCUGGCCACCGGGCAGGCUAAGCUGAUUGACUUUGGCUGUGGCACCUACCUGCAAGACACAGCCUACACUCACUUUGCAGGUGAGCCUACACAGGGCUGUGCUCCCGCUCCUGGCAUCUCAUGGCCCAACAUCUCUCAGCCCAAGCUGGCUGUGGCAGCGGGGAUUCUCCCUUUUGCUGCCACUCAGGGGACUGAAUCUGCAGCUGAGUUGCUUUAGAGCAGGGGUGGGUGGGGAGCCAGCUUCCAGCCCUGCUGGCAGCCUUUGCCCACCACUGUGCCCAGGACUGGGGCUGGGCUGGGGCAGCCAGCCUGACAAAAACAGCCGUGGGUGGGGGUAGCAGAGAGGGAGGUUGGAACCUGUGUCCCAGCCAGUUUGUGUGCAGGCAAGAGGAAGGGCUUGGACUGCUCCACUUGCCCUGUUUGUCUUGGCUUUAUAAUAUGUUUGGGGCAAUGCAGGCAGGGAGAAUGAGGGCAUGGUUUUUCCCCAGCACGCAGUGGGUAUUUCCUUUGCAUGUCAUGGUCAGGCCUAGCCAGGGCUUCCACUGUCCCCUUCCCACACCAGUGGCUUCUUUUGCAAUCCCAAGUUUGUACACCAGUCCCAGAUGCUGGUGAGAGGACAGUGGUCACCCUGUGUGCCACUGAUGCAGCCCUCGCCCGCCCAGGGAUGCUGGGGCCAGGCUCUGGGAGCAGCAGCAUCCCCCUGAUGAACUCCAUCUGUAUUCCACAGGAACACCAUCAUACAGCCCCCCGGAAUGGACCCGCUUUGGCUGGUACCAUGGCAAGCCAGCUACCAUCUGGUCCCUGGGCAUCCUGCUGCACGAGAUGGUCUGUGGGAAGAUGCCUUUCAGGAGGGGCUGGAACUUCAGCUGGGGCCAGCUCUCACUGCCACAACGGCUCUCUCCAGAGUGCCAAAAUCUGAUCGGGUGGUGUUUAUCCAUGCACCCCUUGGCCAGACCCUCAUUAGAAGAGGUGUACUGUCAUCCUUGGAUGCAGGAUAUUCAUCUGCCCUAGAAGAAGGGAGAGAGCCACAGGCACACUUAGAUCCAGGGCCCUGGGAAAGAGAAGGAGCCCCUGGAGAAGCUGUACCGGGUGGGACUGCUGCUGCAGGAGACAGCGAGGAUGACAUGAUGAUGACAACCUCUCCCUGGACCUGGCCACCAGCAGUUGAAGAGGAAGCAUUCUAGGUGGUCCAGUCUGGAUUGGGAAGUGCUUGGGACCAGCUGCAGCGUGGAUGGGCCGUGCCCUUGGAGCAGGCUGAGGACAUCGUUUGGGACCAGCUUUUCUUCCAGCCGUGGAUGGCGUGAGGUGGGUG